CCCCUUAAGUUGGAGGAGGCAGAAAGGCAACCACAGCGAAGAAGAAGGAGAAGUCAAGGCGUCUGGAAAGAAUUACCCAGUCCUGGCUUCGAGCAGCCCAUUGAACGGGGGACUUGAACCAGCCAAAGACUUCUUCAUUCUGCUCUUGCUAGACUCUGCUGAGUCUUGACCCGGCUUGUAGGUUGAUGUGAAAAGAGAUUUUGUGUCGUCGGAGGGAAGGGGAUUGGAGCAAAUAGCAAAACAGGGGGAAAAGUUAAUUUAUUUUUAAAGCACAUUUAACAAAAAGAAUUAGAAGACUUAAGUGCAGCGGAAAUAAUAAAAGAGAAUAUUAGUGAAAUUUCUUCUCAAAGAGGGGAGAACCAAGCAUUUAAGGCUCCCCCAUCUUUUUUUUUAAAUGUUGUUUUUAAAUUUCUUAUUUUUUUUGGCCGGUCGUCUCAAAUUCAUCUGAUUUCUUAUUACCUCAAUUUUGGAAACUUCCUUCCACGACCCUCCGGGACCACACAGACAGGCGGAGGACGAGUCUAUGAGCAGGAGCUGAACAAGGUACGUUAUACAGACGCGUUUGGGUGAACUUUGAAUUCCCUAGAUAGAUUGGGGGCAGAGAAGAAAUUAUCAACAGAGCUUUAAAAAAAAAACCAACAACAAAAACCCCCUAGUUUCUAUAGAAACAUUUGAGGUCUGAAGUGUCCCCCAACUCCCCCCCCUCCCCCCCGCAACAAACUGCCCAUGAGGGAAUAUUGCCAAUCACUAUCAAGUCUCGCAGCAUACCCUGGGUUUUAAUCAUCCGGUGAAAUCCGCUGCCUCUCUGGGCGCACAGGUAACUUGCGUGGCCAAGGAAAGCUGAUUGUCCCGGGGUGUACUUUUCCACUGGGCAUCUUCCCGAGCGUCAAAGGGGCUCCGGAGUCAGAAAACAAGGAUUUCCACUGUGUACGGAAAAUUCAUCCCACAACUGUCCUUACCUUCCUACCCUUCCCUUCUUUCUCCCUCACCUCCCACCAGUAUGUGGGCUGGACACCCUGGCACAGUUCUGUGCGGGGGUGGAGGUGGGGGUACAAACAAAACCGCUCAAUUUUGGCUUAGACUGAAAGGGUUAAACGAUCCGGGUUUCCAGCUACGUUAGGCUGGAAGAGACCCCAAGGAAAGUCCUGCGCCACCUCCUCGCGCUACCAUCCUGGUUCAGCCACUCCCCCCUUUUCCCGGGCCUCCACUCCUUUGCAGUUUCCAAACUCCAUUAAAGUGUCAGGCAGCGAGCAUCCGGGCACAGCCACCCCGAGAAAGCCUUUCCUGGGGCAAGGGGUCCCUCACGCAGGCAUUCGCCGCUGGGGGAGAGAAGAGAGCGCGCAUCCCUCCUUGCGCUGGCCGGCCGGCCCGCACCCCUUGGGCAGGGCGUGCGCGCGGACAGCGCUGCGCUCCCGCAGCUGCACCAAGUCCCGAGCCAAAUCCGACGUGGCACGGAGCACGCUGGCGCUUCUUUCCUCCGUUGCAGCUGGAGACGCUGUUGUGUGGGGGAUUAGGGGACUCUGUCUCUAGCCCCUUGUCCGAUGUGGGGUCGAGGGGCCCUGGGAGCCUGGGAAGAGGUGGGAAGAGAGCCAGACACGGGAUAAUCAACACCUUGGACUGAAUUCGUCACGGUGGUUCCCGCCCAGAGUGAGCCAGGGCUUAGAAAUCGGUCCCGGUGAACCAGAGGGCGGGUCUGAAAGGAGGGUCUGUGUAAGGGUGAGAACUUCGUGGCGACAGAGGCGGCUUCCUCUGGCCCAAGAAAGGCAGCCCAGGGGAAACAGCUCUGAAAGGACCAUUAAGACAGGGCUGGAAGCAUAGGCGGUGUCUGAGAACGAAGGCUUCUAAGACCCAGGUCUCAUUACAUAGUCGUAGGUGUAGGUGCCGUUUCCACCAGCACCUCUCUGGAUAUCCCCCAAACUCCCGGGCACAGUAUUCUGACUCGGAUACCCUUGCCACUAGAUAGCCAGCUGCAACAACCGCGUCCUGGCUUGGGACUUGUAGAAGCCCAGGAGGCCCCGCCCCGCCCAUCUCACUUCACUACCUCCUGGGACCCUUUACUGCCAAAUGAGUCUCUGUAGCAGCUGCACAGAAACGCUACACACUCCUUCAACCCACGUGGCUGGGCUGGGAUUGCAUUUGAUGUCACACCCUGGGAGGGGUGUGUGAUGCAAUAGAUUUGGAGGCUCUGAUUGGCUAGGAAGCUCCCCCUCCCCUCCCCAGCCAGAGUCCAGAGUUUAUACACUUACUCAUGGUCUGCUUAGUGUAAAGCAAACAGUAGAUGGGCUUCCUUGAAGUGGGGGAGACCAGCUUCCCAGGCCAUUGGAGAUUUCAAGGCUUAGCCUGGGAUUUCCCUCUGAAGAGAGGCGUAAGGCAGUGUACCUUUGGAGGUUUUAAAUCUAGGUGUGAUGCUUUUUUUAAUAGAUUCUUUUAAGAAUAAAUAUGUGAAUGGUCAAUACAUAUUUGACCUGAGAAUAUACGGUUUUUGUUUUUGUUUGUUUGUUUUUAAUUGAAGGGUGUAUUUCCGUGGAAUGAGCUAAAACACAUAUCCAAGCCCAGGAACCUAUUUAUGGAUGACAUUUUACAUUUUGC
rnacentral:lncRNA from 1 species